UACGUAGGGUGCGAGCGUUGUCCGGAAUUAUUGGGCGUAAAGAGCUCGUAGGCGGCUUGUCGCGUCGGAUGUGAAAGCCCGGGGCUUAACUCCGGGUCUGCAUUCGAUACGGGCAGGCUAGAGUGCGGUAGGGGAGAUCGGAAUUCCUGGUGUAGCGGUGAAAUGCGCAGAUAUCAGGAGGAACACCGGUGGCGAAGGCGGAUCUCUGGGCCGAUACUGACGCUGAGGAGCGAAAGCGUGGGGAGCGAACAGG
rnacentral:rRNA from 1 species